GGCGCCAUAAUCUGGCGUGGGGACAGUGUCUGGUGGGUAGUUUGACUGGGGCGGUCUCCUCCCAAAGUGUAACGGAGGAGCACGAAGGUCAGCUAAUCCUGGUCGGACAUCAGGAGGUUAGUGCAAUGGCAUAAGCUGGCUUGACUGCGAGAGUGACGGCUCAAGCAGG
rnacentral:rRNA from 1 species